UGGGCGCUUUCGGAACACUUCCCCCGCGCAGUUCAACCGUCAUGGCAGUGGCCACACCGAAGAGCUUGGAUUCCUGUCCCAUUCAUCGCCUUCUUCCUUAAAUUCGUUCUCAAUCCUCGGCCAACCAACGAGAGAAUGCGAGGCAGGAUGAGUUUUCUCCACCAAUUUCAAGAAGGUCUGCAAUUUUGACCUCUUCGCUACCUUUCAUUCUCGUUUCUGUAUAUCCGUCCAAGGCAAUAGAGAUAAGGAACAAGAGGACUAUUCCUCUCGAGGACUGUAUCACCAGCGCUAACGUGGGACUUCUUCUUUCAAUAAUCCAAACGUGGGAGCUCUAUGAUGUUUGUUGAUAAAAGAAAAAAUAUAUCCAUCGAAAUUUCACAUGUAAUGGUUGGAAGUUCUGGAUUAUGAGGAGCAUUUCUAUGUAGCUUUCUUUGAUUCGCAUUGGCAAUGACAUUUUGAUUGCCGCAAAUGGAUUGAAGUACUAUGAUGUCGAGGAGGGAAAGGGUCCUGUGGCAGAGAAGGGUUCCGCAGUUCAGGCAGCCUGGCGCUACUUUUGAAUUGAACAUCGAGCUUUUGGAAGUGGUGCGGCCGGAAAAAGGAGGGGCCUGACAUGACUCGGGAGCCAGGUUUUUUAUCCCCACUGAACUAGAAGUUGAGCAUUAGCUGACUGAUUGAUUCUUUUGUUAGGACGAGGAGAAGCACAAGCAGGUAUUGGGUAAGGGGGAGUUUUUUUUUUUUUUUUUUUUUUUCAAUGGAACCUUCAGUUCCAGGUAUUGGGUAAGGGGGAGUUUUUUCUUCAAUGGAACCUUCAGUUCUUUACUUGCUGUUGUUCUAAACAUGUUAAGACAAUGGUUUGGUAUGGACUCAUUGCGCCCCUC